rnacentral:lncRNA from 10 species
AUUGCUUAAGGAUGCUUUAGAUUUCUAGAAGCAAUAGCUCAAGAAUGAACUUACUGGAGGGUCCAAGAGAAGUUUCAACAAUUUAGCCCAAAGAAAGCUCAAGGAAAGCGUUUAUUUGCCACUGUCUCCAGUAGAGGUUGUUCAUUCUCUCAGAGUCCACAGUCUCCAGGACAAGCAAUUUGGUGGUUGCAUUCUCUUGGCUUCCCAUUUUUCAUAUAAGAAACAGAGGAUCCAAAAUAUUUCAGUAACUCACCCUAGGUCAUAUAGCAGGGAAGGUGCAAUGGGUUCUCCAAAGAUGCUGUCGUCUCUGAAAUCUUAAAAGUCCAGUAAUCCACAACCUAUACAAAUCUCCUAUCCCUCCAUCUGUUUACCCCUCAUACUCUCCACACCCCUCUUUUAGCACCACAGCCAGCUCAAGUUCUAGAUAUCUUCAUUUUCUCUGAGUCUAUCUAGAAGAGCCCAGGUCCCAUAGUCAAACUGUUCAUGCACUGGUUCUCUCUUGUCCUUACAUACAUAAUUCAUGAACUCCUAAUGUUGGAUCAGUCAAACUGAUUUCUCUGCUACUGCAUUCUAAGUACAGCUGGGGAAAAUUACACCUGUGGAUUGAUAACAAUACAAAUUUUUAAAUAUCAAAUUUAAGUUAGAAAACGCUUCUCUCAUUCCUUCAGUCACGAUUCUAAACUUUAACCACCAUCUUCCUUUAUGACCAUCACCUUGCUCCUUCUCAAAAGAUGACCUAAUCUCCCAGUUCACUUAGAAAAUUGAGGCCUUGGUGUGGAUGGGAAGGAAUUUCCUUACCCUCCAGGCCCUACAUUUAUAAGGCUGUUUACAGCUGAAUCUAUCCUUAUCUCACACAAGUUUCUGAACAAAAACCCUUCCCUCUAGCGUAGAGGAAAUGCCCCUUCGAAAUGCCCCUUCUGUUCAAGGUUAACAUUCCCCGUUAUUGUUCAUAGUUUUAUCCCCUUCUGCUUCCUCAGGGAAUUUGUGCCAUUAAUGUUUCAUUUAUCUUCUAUAUUUUCCAUUUCUCUUUCUCUCCUGGAUUCCUCCCUACAGCCCACAGCACCCUCAUUUUAAAACAAAUAAAGCAAAAGUCAGCUUCAUAAAACAUUCGUUGGAACCUGUGUCUCCUUUAAACUGCUGAGCUUCCUCACAAAUGAGCUUCUUGAAAUGUACACCAAAUCUCUCCUCUCUACUUCCUCAACUCCCAUUUGCUCUUCAAACCACUUGAAUUGGGCUUCCAUUUCCACCAGUUCACUGAAACUGUUCUAGCAAAUGUCUGUAGCAGCUGUACUUGUCACCCUUUCAUGAUUACUAUUGUUUACCUAUGUGUUCUGUUUUGUCAUUGAAUAUAGCUUUGAAUUUUUGUCUGUGCAGUUACUGCACAGUUUUUCUUGUUUUUGUUUUUUGAGAGACUUUUGCUCUUGUCACCCAGGCCCGCCACCACACUGGCUAAUUUUGUAUUUUUAGUAGAGACAGGGUUUCACCAUGUUGGCUGGGCUGGGUCCUCGAACUCCUGACCUCAGGUGAUUCACCUGCCUUGGCCUCUCAAAGUAUUGGGAUUACAGGCAUGAGCCAUGGCACCUGGCCUCUAUUUUUUAUUUUUAUUUUUAUCCCCUUAUCUGAUUUUUCAUUGUAUUCUUGAUUGUGCCCAGCAAGAAGAAAUCUAACGAAUAUUUGUUAAAUAAAUUAAAGAAAAAUUUAAGUAACAUGAAAGAGCACGAUGCCACCAUAUUUUAGAUGAGGCACAAGGCUAGGCCUAAACAAAACUUUUCUCUGGUGACAACUACCUGCAUUAUACUCCUCAUUAACCUCAUCUUGCUGUUUCUGGCUCAGUGCUCUUCUGCUGUCCCACAGAGCCUGUUACUUUCCCUUCUACUGCCAUAAAAUUUACCUGUCCUAUUUUUUAUUUCCUCAGGGUCUAAGAUUUCAGCCAGCAAGUCAGACAAACUAAUUUUCAUUAAUAGAGAACAGUAAUUGGAGAAGCCAAAAGAAGCACAUGCCUAGGCAAUAAAUGUGCAUUUUUAAUAAAACGCUGUGCUUUUUCUAAUUAUAAAAUACAUUUUUAUUGUUGAAAAAAUUUUAAGCACCAAAAUAUAGAAAAUAAAAAGCACACACACACAAAAAUCAGACAAGUCAUAACAUUUUGGUUUUAAUAUAGCAUAGUAGUUAAGAGCCCAGACUCUGCUGCCUAAGCUUGAAUCCCAGCUCUACCACCUUCCAGCUCUUUGACCUUGGGCAAGUGACUUAACCUGUCUAUGUCUCAGCUUUAUCAUCUGUAAAGCAGAGAUAGUGAUAGUACCUAUUAUUGCUAUGAGAAUUAAAUGAGCUAACAUAUGUGAAGUGCUUAAAACACUCUCUGGCACAUAAUAAGGUCUAUGUUAAGUAUUUGCUAUUAUUGUUUUGGCAAAUAUCCUUCCAGAUAGAUAAGACAGACCAACAGAGAAGAGAUAUAACUAUAAACACACAUACUUUAAAAAGUAUUGGAACCAUUCUUUACCUAUGUUUUCUUAUUUGCUUUUGUCACUUAAAAGCA